rnacentral:rRNA from 1 species
UGCCAGCAGCCGCGGUAAUACGAGUGGGGCGAGCGUUAUUCGGAUUUACUGGGUGUAAAGGGCGUGUAGGUGGUUAGGUGUGUUAGAUGUGAAAUCCCUCGGCUCACCCGAGGAACUGCAUCUAAAGCUACUUGACUUGAGUGUUGGAGAGGAAGGCGGAAUUCCUGGUGUAGCGGUGAAAUGCGUAGAUAUCAGGAGGAACGCCGGUGGCGAAAGCGGCUUUCUGGCCAAACACUGACACUGAGGCGCGAAAGCCAGGGGAGCGAACGGGAUUAGAUA